rnacentral:rRNA from 1 species
CUUUACUAUAACUUUGCAGUGGCAUCAAAAUUGUCAUGUGUAGCAUAGGUGGGACCCUUUGAAGCCUUGGCGCUAGCUGAGGUGGAGGGACAACAUGAAAUACCACCCUUGACUCUUUUGGUGUCUAACCGAGCUCCAUUAUCUGGAGCCGGGACCCUGCAUGGUGGGUAGUUUGACUGGGGCGGUCGCCUCCUAAAGUGUAACGGAGGCGCGCGAUGGUGGGCUCAAGACGGUUGGAAAUCGUCUUCAAGAGUGCAAUGGCAUAAGCUUGCCUGACUGCGAGACUGACAAGUCGAGCAGAGACGAAAGUCGGUCAUAGUGAUCCGGUGGCUUCCAUAUGGAAGGGCCAUCGCUCAACGGAUAAAAGGUA